AACGAACGCUGGCGGCAGGCUUAACACAUGCAAGUCGAGCGCCCCGCAAGGGGAGCGGCAGACGGGUGAGUAACGCGUGGGAACGUACCCUUUUCUACGGAAUAACCCAGGGAAACUUGGACUAAUACCGUGUGUGCCCUUCGGGGGAAAGGUUUAUCGGAAAAGGAUCGGCCCGCGUUGGAUUGGCUAGUUGGUGGGGUAAAGGCCUACCAAGGCGACGAUCCAUAGCUGGUCUGAGAGGAUGAUCAGCCACAUUGGGACUGAGACACGGCCCAAACUCCUACGGGCGGCAGCAGUGGGGAAUAUUGGACAAUGGGAGCAAGCCUGCUCCAGCCAUGCCGCGUGGGUGAUGAAGGCCCUAGGGUUGUAAAGCUCUUUCACCGAUGAAGAUAAUGACGGUAACCGGAGAAGAAGCCCCGGCUAACUUCGUGCCAGACGCCGCCGUAAUAC
rnacentral:rRNA from 1 species